CCUCCCUUGACAGACGGUGUAUCUCCUGUCUACUGGACUCUGGCCCCUGGUACCUUCACACCUGCCUCCUCACUUACAUACACAGGCAAGUAGACUACAACUUCGACCAGAGAGUCCACAAGCACACCACACGGGCUGGAGGCUUUGACAUCCGAGUGAAAGACAGCGUGAGCUCAUCCCUGCUCUCCAGCAAGUUCUACCAGCCUAAAUCUGACCGUUUGACUACCCAGGACCGUUGAGAAACAGACUGACAACUUCACAACACUCUUAUGAAACAGUGAGCGACGGGUUGGGCCUUCCAAUCAGAGCAAGAGGAAGCAAUGAUGAACGUGAGGAUCCCAAUUGGUCCAAUGGUUGGGGAGUCCAAUGGUUACUUCUUUAAUAUCACGUCCAAUCAAUGCGUCGGAAAGCCAAGUAGAUAUGCCUUACUGUCCGUACUGUAGCCAAUGGGGGAGUAGAUUCCCGCAAUGGAGUGAUCCGUUUGGACAAAUGGAGAUGCGGGGUAAAUUGUAUUAGCGGGGGAUUCUGUCACUAAAUCGUAUGUUAUCAACAGCAGGGCAAGCUAUACACUGACUUUACAGAUCAGCAAUUAUGUUGGUAGAUUACUGACUGAUAAUUGGGCAUAGUGUGUCAGUGGUGGUUUUCAUAAGCAGCAAGGCUGUUUGACAAGGAUAAGGCCUAUUUGUAGAUAUUUGACCAAGAAGAGUAAAGUUGAAAUAGCGUUAUUAUUUUCAUUGAGAAAGGACAUGGCUAAACCUAACGCAUAGUGCCUAUAAACAUAAAGCAUAGCGAGGACUAAAUCUAUAGUUCCAACAAAAGCAACAGACAAACCACUUUAUGAGGGAAUCAGUUUUGUUCAGGGGUUCCAUAAAGCUUUUCCUCUGCGCAGUUUGCAGACACGAUUCUUAGAACUUUCGAUACAUACAGUGAGUGCAACAUUGUAUCUGCCUCUGCACAAACAGAAGGUGAGAUUUCUACAUGGAAGGCGUGGUUGAGUUUCGGCUAGACUACGGAAGCCUGUCCAAUGGAACUGUCAAACUCAGUGACGCUCCAGUGGGCGUGAACGACCCCUUGGAACUUUCGUCCGAGAGGAACUGAGCUGAGCUGUGUUCAGACUCGUCCAGAUUCUGAUGGAAAAUUCUCGAACUUUCUGCGCGGAUAUAAGAUAGAAUGAGGUCACAAGCGGAGUGCUGAGCUGAGCUGAGAGAACCGUAGCCUUCUUCAACAGUGUGUGUGCAGUUCACGUUGUAAUACUUUUACUUACCAUUCCAUAGACUCCAACUGGACCAGCGGAUUUAAAGAGAACUACCCGUAUACCUUGUGUGAAUUUGAUUGACACUGGACUUGACAGUCAGCAGGCUCAAGCAAGGGAGCUUUAAACUAUUUCUCGCAGCUAUUCGGGGAAUAAACACACAGACAGCUAGAUGGUCAAAAUGGGUAAAGACUACUAUAAUGUCCUGGGCAUACAGAAAGGAGCGACGGAGGACGAGAUCAAGAAGGCUUAUCGUAAGCAGGCUCUGC